rnacentral:rRNA from 1 species
CAGUCGCCGCGGUAAAACGAAGGGUGCAAGCGUUAAUCGGAAUUACUGGGCGUAAAGCGUGCGUAGGCGGUUUGUUAAGUCUGUUGUGAAAUCCCCGGGCUCAACCUGGGAAUGGCAAUGGAUACUGGCAAGCUAGAGUGUGUCAGAGGAUGGUGGAAUUCCCGGUGUAGCGGUGAAAUGCGUAGAGAUCGGGAGGAACAUCAGUGGCGAAGGCGGCCAUCUGGGACAACACUGACGCUGAGGCACGAAAGCGUGGGGAGCAAACAGGAUUAGAUACCCCAGUAGUCCCUGUCUCUUAUAU